CCCAGGGAUCGAACCUGUGUCUCCUGGAUUAGCAGGCAGAUUCUUUACCAUUCAGCCACCAGGUGCUUCAGAGAACAGUAACAAAACCCCACUGCUCUAAAAGGGAUGCAACUCCAUAUGAAAGCAGGAUUUGCAUUGGACUUCUCCAAACCCUACCUCCCGGCCUUCAACUGAAGGGGCACAGCAUCUUCUGGUUCCUCUCCCAGGAGGCAUGGUUCUGAGCAUCCUAACCGACUAGCCUGCAGAAGAACAGUUCACCUCUUCACUGUUAGGGCUUCCUCCUCCCACACCUCAACUUUCGGGGCUGCCAGUCCCCACUGGGUCAGCCAGACAGUAAAGAGGGACUUUCAGGACUUCCCUGCUGGUCCAGUGGUUAUGAAUCUGUCUGCCAAUGCAGGGACACUGGUUUGAUCCCUGGUCCUGGAAGAUUCCACAUGCUGAGGGGUAACUAAGCCUGUGUGCCACAGCUACUGAAGCCCGUGAAGCCUAGAGCCUGUGCUCUGCAACAAGAGAAGCCACCGCACCACAAUGAGAGAGUGGCCUCCGCUUUCCACAAAUGGAGAAAAUCUGCAGGCAGCAAUGAGGACCUAGCACAGUCAAAAAAAAGAAUAAAUUACUAAGUUAAA